rnacentral:rRNA from 1 species
UACGGAGGGGGCAAGCGUUGUCCGGAUUUAUUGGGCGUAAAGCGCUCGCAGGUGGUUCGUCGCGUCGUGCGUGAAAGACCCCGGCUCAACUGGGGGAGGUCGUGCGAUACGGGCGAACUGGAGGCCAGUAGGGGGAUGCGGAAUUCCGGGUGUAGUGGUGGAAUGCGCAGAUAUCAGGAGGAACACCGGUGGCGAAGGCGGGUCUCUGGGCAACAACUGACGCUGAGGAGCGAAAGCGUGGGGAGCGAACAGG